rnacentral:rRNA from 1 species
CAGCAGCCGCGGUAAUACCGGCGGCCCGAGUGGCGGUCACUAUUAUUGGGCUUAAAGCGUCCGUAGCCGGGUUGGGAAGUCCUCCGGGAAAUCUGGCCGCUUAACGGUCAGAAUGCCGGAGGAUACUCCCAGCCUAGGGAGCGGGAGAGGCCGAGGGGAUUCCCGGGGUAGGGGGGAAAUCCUAUAAUCCCGGGAGGACCACCUGUGGCGAAGGCGCUCGGCUGGAACGCGUCCGACGGUGAGGGACGAAGGCCAGGGGAGCAAACCGGAUUAGAUACCCGGGUAGUCCUGGCUGUAAACGAUGCGGACUUUGUGUCGGACAAGCUAUGAGCUUGUCCGGUGCCGGAGGGAAACCGUUAAGUCCGCCGCCUGGGGAGUACGGCCGCAAGGUUGAAACUUAAAGGAAUUGGCGGG